UGAGGAAUAUUGGGCAAUGCCCGCAAGGGUGACCCAGCAACGCCGCGUGGAGGAUGAAUGUCGUAAGAUUGUAAACUCCUGUUAGAGGGGAAGAAUAGUACCGGUUGGACCGGUAUAUGACUGUACCCUCAGAGAAAGCCCCGGCUAACUACGUGCCAGCAGCCGCGGUAAUACGUAGGGGGCAAGCGUUGUCCGGAUUUACUGGGUGUAAAGGGCGCGCAGGCGGGAUAAAAAGUCAGUGGUGAAAUCCUGCAGCUUAACUGUAGAACUGCCUUUGAUACUUUUAUUCUUGAGUUCGGGAGAGAGAGACGGAAUUCCAGGUGUAGUGGUGAAAUACGUAGAUAUCUGGAAGAACACCAGUUGCGAAGGCGGUCUCUUGGUCCGACACUGACGCUGAGGCGCGAAAGCGUGGGGAGCAAACA
rnacentral:rRNA from 1 species